AAAAAAUUAUACAUUUAUUUAUUUAGCAACCCUAGAACUUUCCAAAGUUUACUACAGUACACUUAGGAGCACACUACUAAGUUACCUUCAAUCAGGACCUCAUUCAAGGCCUCACCAACUUCAAAGUUACAUUUCUUUAAAAAGACACAAAGCUGAUUUAUUUAGUUAAGACUUUUAUUUUGAAUUACAGAAGCUUUAAUGGAAAAAGUGGUUUAUUAAAGCAUUUUCUUGUUUUCUCCCAGUUUAUACCUAGAAGGUAGAAAGGUUUAUGCCACUAGAACGAAAACAUGUAGUAUGUUAGAACACACAAAAAGAUGAAAGAUCCCAGUUCUGAGAGACUUCUUGUCCAUUACAGAAUCACCUUCUAUGAGAUCCACACAUUUUAGAAAUUCAAGCAAAAAAAAAAAAAUUGUGUCUACUUCCAACUGCAUUACGCAGCCCUGCAUUAAAAUCUGACAACCUCCAAGGAAGAAAGGUCAUUACUAAAAGGCAGCAAAUAUUCACCCUAUAUCAGUGCAUGAGAUCAUUAAGCAAAUGCCAGCAUCAACAUCUGCAGUAAGAUUUAAAAAAACACAACAGCUGUUUUGAAUUGUAUAUUCAUUUUCAAGUAGCAAGAACUUGGAGCCAAAGAG